rnacentral:rRNA from 1 species
AGUGAACGCUGGCGGUAGGCCUAACACAUGCAAGUCGAACGGCAGCACAGUAAGAGCUUGCUCUUACGGGUGGCGAGUGGCGGACGGGUGAGGAAUACAUCGGAAUCUACUUUUUCGUGGGGGAUAACGUAGGGAAACUUACGCUAAUACCGCAUACGACCUACGGGUGAAAGCAGGGGAUCUUCGGACCUUGCGCGAUUGAAUGAGCCGAUGUCGGAUUAGCUAGUUGGCGGGGUAAAGGCCCACCAAGACGACGAUCCGUAGCUGGUCUGAGAGGAUGAUCAGCCACACUGGAACUGAGAUACGGUCCAGACUCCUACGGGAGGCAGCAGUGGGGAAUAUUGGACAAUGGGCGCAAGCCUGAUCCAGCCAUACCGCGUGGGUGAAGAAGGCCUUCGGGUUGUAAAGCCCUUUUGUUGGGAAAGAAAAGCAGCAGGUUAAUACCCCGCUGUUCUGACGGUACCCAAAGAAUAAGCACCGGCUAACUUCGUG